rnacentral:rRNA from 1 species
CUGGCGGCGUGCCUAACACAUGCAAGUCGAGCGAGGAGAUCCUCGGGAUGAUCCUAGCGGCGGACGGGUGAGUAACACGUGGGCAACCCGCCUCAUAGAGAGGAAUAGCCUUCCGAAAGGGAGAUUAAUACCUCAUAACAUUGCAGUUUCGCAUGAAACAGCAAUUAAAGGAGCAAUCCGCUAUGAGAUGGGCCCGCGGCGCAUUAGCUAGUUGGUGAGGUAACGGCUCACCAAGGCGACGAUGCGUAGCCGACCUGAGAGGGUGAUCGGCCACAUUGGGACUGAGACACGGCCCAGACUCCUACGGGAGGCAGCAGUGGGGAAUAUUGCACAAUGGGGGAAACCCUGAUGCAGCCAACGCCGCGUGAGUGAUGACGGCCUUCGGGUUGUAAAGCUCUGUCUUCAGGGACGAUAAUGACGGUACCUGAGGAGGAAGCCACGGCUAACUACGUGCCAGCAGCAGC